rnacentral:lncRNA from 1 species
GCAUUUAAUACCUCCAACACUCACAGAAAUGGAAGUUUUACAAUCUUUCAAUGGUUCCCCUACUUGCUCCACCGUUAAUACACAUGCCAAGGACAAGAAAGGGAAAGUGGUAAAGUAUAGAUAAAUAAGUACCAUCAGUGCUUAUAAGCAAUAAAUGGUUUCCAAAAGUAGCAUCCUGAAACAGAUUUCCCAAAAUGCAGUUUCACAUAUGGCAUACCUGUAAUACAAGCAACGUAGUAGCCAGUUCCACCUAAUCCUACUUCCCAUUUACCAAGUCGCAAGCGCAGGAAAAGACCUUCCAAAUGUAACAGUGAGACAUCGGAGUUUAUCCAUCUGAAGCAGAAGCUACU